AGUGAACGCUGGCGGUAGGCCUAACGCAUGCAAGUCGAACGGCAGCACAGUAAGAGCUUGCUCUUACGGGUGGCGAGUGGCGGACGGGUGAGGAAUACAUCGGAAUCUACUUUUUCGUGGGGGAUAACGUAGGGAAACUUACGCUAAUACCGCAUACGACCUACGGGUGAAAGCAGGGGAUCUUCGGACCUUGCGCGAUUGAAUGAGCCGAUGUCGGAUUAGCUAGUUGGCGGGGUAAAGGCCCACCAAGGCGACGAUCCGUAGCUGGUCUGAGAGGAUGAUCAGCCACACUGGAACUGAGACACGGUCCAGACUCCUACGGGAGGCAGCAGUGGGGAAUGUUGGACAAUGGGCGCAAGCCUGAUCCAGCCAUACCGCGUGGGUGAAGAAGGCCUUCGGGUUGUAAAGCCCUUUUGUUGGGAAAGAAAAGCAGCAGGUUAAUACCCCGCUGUUCUGACGGUACCCAAAGAAUAAGCACCGGCUAACUUCGUG
rnacentral:rRNA from 1 species